rnacentral:tRNA from 16 species
GCGAAAGUAGUUCAGGGGUAGAACAUCACCUUGCCAAGGUGAGGGUCGCGGGUUCAAAUCCCGUCUUUCGCUCCA